UGCCCCCAGAUAGGUACUUGUACGCCUAGGGAAAGACGCUGCUAGGUGCUGCUGCUAAAUCCCUGUGGUUUCUGCCAGCCACAUGCGGCCAUUGCCGGCUCACGUAGGUUCGUUCGCGUGGUCUUGUUACGCCUCGCUGGAUCGUGUUCAGUCAUGCCGUCCUUGCGCGGCGUGAUUGUCGGCGAGUCAGGUUAAAUUCUUAAAUAGGUCGCGCCUGCGCCUAAUUGAGUCUAUAAAAGCCUGCACAUUCAGUUUUGCUAGCUACAAUGCAGUGCGGCUGGCGUGAGCUGUCUCCACGAUGCGCUUCGAGCGUGUCGAUUUCGCCGUUCUUUAUGUUGGCGUUAACGACCUUGAAAGCAACAUGGAUCCACAAGAAAUGUGCGACAACAUCAAGGCCUUGAUUGUUCAACGAGACGGCCCCCGUCGUGCUGGUUUUCAAGGUGCUCCCUCGCUGCCUAGAAGAUGCUGAUGCGGAAUAGAAAAUGCAAAAACGUCGCUUGCUCAACCGCAAAUUGACGGCUACGCUGAAGCGCAUGCCGUGUCUGCGGAAUUUGAACCCCGAGCUUUCCAGAGUUCCUUGGAAAAUCCUCCCAUGCACCUGCCAUGUACAUUGCCCUCCUCCUCGAUGUGGCGUGCAAGAUGGCAGCAGCAGCUGUGGGAACAGUUGAAGAGGCGAAGAAAGGUCCACUUUAUAAUAGGUUGUAUGUAAAUAAAACUGAUCGACCUCAA